AGCCCUGUGGUGUAUAACACAUCGGAUUGCAAAUCCUAAGAAGCAGACUAGUACUCUGCCGGGGCUU
rnacentral:tRNA from 1 species